rnacentral:rRNA from 3 species
ACGCGGAGGGAUCAUUA